CACGUAGGGUGCGAGCGUUGUCCGGAAUUAUUGGGCGUAAAGAGCUCGUAGGCGGUUUGUCGCGUCGGUUGUGAAAGCCCGGGGCUUAACCCUGGGUCUGCAGUCGAUACGGGCAGGCUAGAGUUCGGUAGGGGAGACUGGAAUUCCUGGUGUAGCGGUGAAAUGCGCAGAUAUCAGGAGGAACACCGGUGGCGAAGGCGGUUCUCUGGGCAUGUCCUGACGCUGAGGAGCGAAAGUGUGGGGAGCGAACAGG
rnacentral:rRNA from 1 species